rnacentral:rRNA from 1 species
UACGAAGGGGGCUAGCGUUGCUCGGAAUGACUGGGCGUAAAGGGUGCGUAGGCGGUCUGACAAGUCUGAUGUGAAAUCUAUGGGCUCAACCCAUAGUCUGCAUCGGAAACUGUCGGGCUUGAGUAUGGGAGAGGUGAGUGGAAUUUCCGGUGUAGCGGUGAAAUGCGUAGAUAUCGGAAGGAACACCUGUGGCGAAAGCGGCUCACUGGACCAUUACUGACGCUGAGGCGCGAAAGCUGGGGGAGCGAACGGG